rnacentral:rRNA from 1 species
AUUGAACGCUGGCGGCAGGCCUAACACAUGCAAGUCGAGCGGCAGCGGGAAAGUAGCUUGCUACUUUUGCCGGCGAGCGGCGGACGGGUGAGUAAUGCCUGGGAAAUUGCCCAGUCGAGGGGGAUAACAGUUGGAAACGACUGCUAAUACCGCAUACGCCCUACGGGGGAAAGCAGGGGACCUUCGGGCCUUGCGCGACUGGAUAUGCCCAGGUGGGAUUAGCUAGUUGGUGAGGUAAUGGCUCACCAAGGCGACGAUCCCUAGCUGGUCUGAGAGGAUGAUCAGCCACACUGGAACUGAGACACGGUCCAGACUCCUACGGGAGGCAGCAGUGGGGAAUAUUGCACAAUGGGGGAAACCCUGAUGCAGCCAUGCCGCGUGUGUGAAGAAGGCCUUCGGGUUGUAAAGCACUUUCAGCGAGGAGGAAAGGUUGAUACCUAAUACGUAACAGCUGUGACGUUACUCGCAGAAGAAGCACCGGCUAACUCCGUGCCAGCAGCCGCCGUAACAC